rnacentral:rRNA from 1 species
AACGUAGGACGCAAGCGUUAUCCGGAAUUACUGGGCGUAAAGAGCGUGUAGGCGGAUUGCUAAGUCGGGCAUGAAAGCUCCCGGCUAAACCGGGAGAGGUUGUUCGAGACUGGCGGUCUGGAGAGUGACAGAGGAGCGUGGAAUUCUGCAUGUAGUGGUGAAAUGCGUAGAUAUGCGGAGGAACACCAGUGGCGAAGGCGGCGCUCUGGGUCACAACUGACGCUGAGACGCGAAAGCAUGGGUAGCAAACGGGAUUAGAUACCCUGGUA